rnacentral:rRNA from 1 species
GGCGGAACGGUCGGAGUAACAACGUAGGUGAGUACUGCCCACUCAGACGGGACGAACGAGUUAGUAACGAUACGCGAAUUACCGGACUUAGGACGAAGUUUAAAGAUAGCUCCUGGCAUCACUGAUGGAUGAGCCUGCGGCGCAUUAGCUAGUUGGUGGGGUAAAGGCCUACCAAGGCGACGAUGCGUAGCCGACCUGAGAGGGUGAACGGCCACACUGGGACUGAGACACGGCCCAGACUCCUACGGGAGGCAGCAGUAGGGAAUCUUCGGCAAUGGGCGAAAGCCUGACCGAGCAACGCCGCGUGAAUGAAGAAGGCCUUCGGGUUGUAAAAUUCUGUUAUAAGGGAAGAAAGGUGAUAGGAGGAAAUGACUAUCAAUUGACGGUACCUUAUGAGAAAGCCACUGCUAACUACGUG